rnacentral:rRNA from 1 species
CGCGUAGGCGGGUGUUCAAGUCCGGGGUGAAAUCCCACAGCUCAACUGUGGAACUGCCUUGGAUACUGGGCACCUCGAGGGUGGUAGGGGUAUGCGGAACUAUCGGUGGAGCGGUGAAAUGCGUUGAUAUCGAUAGGAACUCCGGUGGCGAAGGCGGCAUACUGGACCACAUCUGACGCUGAGGCGCGAAAGCCAGGGGAGCGAACG